rnacentral:RNase_P_RNA from 1 species
GCGGAAGGCCGGAUGGCCGCGGAGGGCGACCUCCGAGGAAAGUCCGGACUCCCCAAAGCGACGGUGCCGGGUAACGCCCGGGCGGGGCAACCCGACGGAAAGCGCCACAGAGAACAGACCGCCCGCGUCCGCGCGGGUCAGGGUGAAACGGUGGGGUAAGAGCCCACCGCGUUCCUGGCAACAGGGACGGCACGGCAAGCCCCACCGGGAGCAAUGCCGAAUAGGACCCCCGCGCGGGCUGGUCCCUUCGGGGAUACCGCCGCUGAGGCCGCUUUGGCCAAGAGGGGUCGGGUAGGCAGCUUGAGGCGCCACGGCAACGCGGCGUCCAGAGGAAUGGUCAUCGAACCGCCUUGCCGCGCAAGCGGUGGGCGGGGAACAGAAUCCGGCUUACAGGCCUUCCGCGCAA